rnacentral:lncRNA from 1 species
GUCUCUCCUCGCCUCUCAUAUCUUCUUCCACUCGCCCUCGCAAGCCGAUCUCCAUUCCCGACGCGGUGGUCACUUAGUUUCCCGCCCAUCGGCCUCCGGCCUCUAAAAAUACCGUUCGAAUUCCUUGCCCAAGAAAUCUUCCUCGCUCUCUCUUCCUCCCCGCCCCACUUCCCUCCCUCUCGAGGCUCAUCGAAAGGUAUCAAUCUCUAUCCUCUCGGUUCAGAUUCGUGUCACAGUCACCGGACAAUUGCUCUUUCGUUCUUUCGCGGGAUUUCCGGUUUUUGAUCAAUUCUUUGUGGAUUCCUGUGUCUAUUGAGGUUGUCGUGAUGGAAAUCCGUCGAUUUCUUGGUCAGUGUUCUAAUUUGGGAGAUCAAUAGGAUCUCCAGUUGCUGAUUUCUUCUUAGUUUUCGUUUUUCUUUUAAUUGGCGAUUUUGUUCGCCCCGAUUUCGUUGGGUAGGAAUUCUUGUGACUUUUUUAUUGUUUUGUUUCCAUUUUAAUCUGCGAAUUUUAAGAAAGAAGGUUAGUUUUCCAAGAGUUUGAUGUGAUCCUGUUGUGUUUCGCAUGUUCUAGGUCAAGAGAGCGAUUGGAUGUCUUCUUGGUUUCUAAAUUAACAAAGCUGUUUUUUUUUUUGUGUGUGUGUGGAUAAUAAUUGUUCCUGUUCUGAUUGUGCUACAGAUCUUUGAAACCCUAAUUGCUUGUCCCAUUUCUUUUUAGAUUUGUAUAUGAACUUCUAAUCUUAGGCUGCAUCAAUAGUUAUGAAUGGAGAACUUUCAUGUGGAGCUUAAUUCUUAACUGUUGGGUGACUUCUUGUGAGAGGCUGCUCGUUGCUUGUAAUUCAACCCCCGCCCCCCCCCCCCCUCUUCUCGAAACCAUUUGUGUCAGAUUCACUUGCACACCAUCUUCCCCUUUGUUGUCUCCCUUAAAUAAUUCAGAAGAUGAGCGGUCAAACCUUUCCUUGGGAAACAGUUAGGACACCAUCUUGAUCUGUAAGUUACCAUGUAAACUAAAAGGGGCUUCAGUUUGAUAGUCAUCAAAGUAUUGAAUUCUGGAGCAAGAGGUGGCGAGGGAUCUAAAGAAAGGAGUACAAUGAUAACCUAGUGGUAGUCACACAAAUAAUGUCGUAUGUACAGAAGUCACCCGAUAAGGAAUCUGUUGUUAGUAAUUAGGUGCACCAUCCCAGCAGUGUAAUGUUCAGUCAUGCAAAUGUGAGAUCAGUAUAUAUGGACAUGUUGGUGAUGCCUAUUGUUAGUGCACCUGAGUUUUAUUGACCUCUAUCUUCUGAAUGAACUAAUAAUUAGAUAAUCUGAGGAGAGCAAAAACACUUGAAGAUAAAAUUCAGAUGAAAGCUUCAUAUAUUUUUAUUUUAGAUUAUUAAUAUACAUUCAGAAUUAUUUUAUCUGUACUCUUUUAUUCUAUCCUACAGUACUGAGAUAGCACUGAAUUUGUCAAAAAAUGAACAGCAUCUUUUUCUUAUCUCAUUCAACCGUGUUGUCUCCUUUUUUUAUGAUGCUUGUUAAAUGCAUUUUAAGAUCCCUGAGCAGAAACUAGUUGACCCAAGAAAGCAUUAUUAGUUAGUUCCAAGCCAACUGACCUUACCUUUAGGCAAACUAGGUGAAAGUCAAACAUCUGAGUAUUUGCCUAAGCAGGUUAACUCACUUAGGCACCUAAGCAUUUUUCAAAGUGGGGCCUAAGCUUCUUGGAACUUACCUGGGUCACCUAGGCAAGGCAAACCAGCAUAACCUUGAAAAAGAAAUUAAAUUCUAGAUCAUCAUUGAAAAUUCAAUCUUAGAACACUAAAGAUGAGAACUGAGAGCUUUAAUAUAUAAUGUUCUUCACCUUGUUCAUGCUGGACAGUGUGAAGUAUGACAAAGAGGACAAUAAUGUGUAUGAUGAUCGAAUAUGUAGGUUUCUGAAUAUUCAAUAAGAGAGGUCAUGUUGCCAUAAGGCACUCAACAUUUAAUUGGGGAGAAUUUAUUUGCUUCUUCUUCUAUUUCCACUAUUAUUCUCCCAUUUCCUUGUGCUACUUGUUGGUUCAUGCAUUGCACAUGCACAAGCAAAAUCGAUAGUUUAACAUAAAAAAAUUCCCAUAAACUUCCCCAUAAAAAAUGCUACUUGUUAGUUGAAGCAACAUCUCAGCUAGUUUAUAAAUAAAUUUCUUUCAACUUCUGUAACCAAGACCUGGGUUUUGUAAUUCUCAUAUCAAAACAUACAGUUUAUUUCUACUUUUUCCUUUUUAUGUGUGCAUAUGCUACCUAUAUACAAUCUUUAUUUUAUCAAUUAGUAUGUUAACAGAAUAUAAAUUACCACACAUGGCUAACAUGUAGAAAAACAAAUUUUCUUUUUAAUAAUGUGCACGUGCAUGCAUGCAUGUGUAUGAGAUAGAAAAUGCUAACAAGUACACCUUUACUUCUCUUGUGCUCCACAAUGUUUUGGAGAAGAAAAAAAGUGAAGGACAAAGGUACAAGAGGGAUGUGCAUAUUAUAACCUAUGGAAAAACUAAGCUGUCGUGACUUAGCAACCGCCUACUGAUAAAGUAGGUAAGGGUUUCAAAUCUGAUUAAGACAUCUAGUUGACAGGAUUAUUUUUGAACUUUAGUUGUUGCAAGAAACUUGACAUUCCACUCAUGCUGAACAUUUCUUGAGAAAGAUUUCAACUUGUUAUUGUUAAAUUUCUUUACAAAUUUUUGGUUUUUAUAAUUUAGUGUUCUUUAUGCUGGUGAGCAUUGAUGAAUUGCAUGUAAUAACAUUCUUACACAUUAUUGCUGUUGCAGGUUUUUGCCUAUAAGCAUCUUGGUCUGUGUCCCAGGCCUGGUACAAUGGUUUCCUUUGAGAUGAAUGAUCGUAAAAGUAUGAAUUCUGUGCCUAAUGCAUGUCAUAGUUUAUUCUUUCUGUCACAUGCUUGUAGGUGGUGUAAUUUAUUCAUGAUUUAUAAUCAUUCCAUCUUUUUCCUUAUUUUGCUACAACUCACAUACCCACUGUACAUCUUAAUAAAAAUUGUUUUCAAGACUUUAGACCAGCUGGAAAGAAAUAAUUUAUGCGUAAUUAAUUAUGAUGAUAUGUUUCCCUUAUUAAUUGUUACUUUCUGUUAUAAUGACCAUUAUAACAGCCAAUAUUUUAAUAUCCAUAUAUACCCAGUCUGGGCUGAAAUGUCUAUGUAUGGCUGUUAUUUCUGCUAUAAUGGUGAGCUCUAUUAUUUGGGGAUAUUGGUGUUAUAGAAACCUUGUGUUGCACAUCUUGUUCCUGCUUCUCUGUCAUUCAAUAAGGUGGUUCAUCUUGAGGUGAGGCAUUUGCUCCACAUACAAAAUUCUUCAGGUCAUCUUGUUUUUGAGUUUAAAGGAGUUGAAGAAAUCUUCUGAAACAAACACUGUACCACCGGGCCUCCUAAUCCAUUGAUUUCCAGAUCAGCUUGGUACAUCAGAGUUAGUAAGAGUUGCAAGGAAGGAUGUAAAAUAUUUAAGAUAGGUUAGGAAGGAUGUAAAAUAUUUAAGAUAGGUUAGGAAGGAUGCAAAACUUACAUUCUCAUGAUCUCUCAUGUUCCACAAGUAAGCGAAUAAUGCAAGCAAUUUUAUUUCUAUGCAUAAAAGGGAUUCAACUCAUGAAUAUUAAUGUCAACUGCAAUAGUAGACAGUCCAGAGAAACCAGAGUGCACACCUUGAAUUUAAUAUUCACGUCAAAAGAGCAGUGCUAGUGAAUGGCCUGCUUCAGGACAAUAUACUGUCUCAGCUACCCCUACAUUGCUGCCCUUGUCCAAUCCAUUAGUUACGAAGAACUUUUCUCUUUUUAAUUACCUGUAUCUAAAACUAACCUUCUUGACUAACAUAUCUGUACAAACAAACUAAACGAGUCCUUUUCUCCAAGAUAUCAUCCCUUUGGAGGAAGUCUGCUUGAUGCCUACCUAUUGUCCUAAAACUAGCAAUACUUAGUGAAGAACAUGCAAUAUUUUGAAGAUAAGGAAGUAUGUACAUAGAUCUGCUUAGCCUUCCAUUUUGUAUAUUUAUAUCCGUUGUUUGCAACAUGGGGACCAAAAUGUUGGAAGACAUCUUAGAUGCAUCUAUCCAGAAGCCCAACAAUCUUCUGAUUUCAAGCCUUUUGGAAUGUUGUCUCUUCUCUCUUACCUUCCUCUUAAUGCUGUAACUCCUCUUUUCAUCUGUACUCUCUUGUAAUUAUCUCUCCUUAAUAAGUUGGGAUGGGCUUUUGCCCUCCCCUUCCCCUAAAAAAGGCAAUCCUGACAGACUGGCAUAGUUCUAAUUACAUCUCCUGAUCUUGGUGGUUGUCAUUUUUGAUCUGUUUAAUUGCUUUAAAAUAUGUUGGCACUCCUUGUAGAAUGUUCAUGUGAAAGGCUUUUGCCGUACAAAAUUGCUUUUGGGAAUUGUAAAACAACCAUUUUAUAUGCAUCAUUUGAGGACCUAAAUAGAUUUAGAUUUAAGGUUAAAUGUAGCUUAAGAGUUUGCUUAUAAUGUUUGCCCUUUGACACCCCUCUUCUCAUACAUUAGAAGAAUUUUGCGGAUUGUAAUCUUCAGGCAAAAUUGAGAGAGCUUGCAUCUUAUUUAUGUGCCUAACAGUCAUGUCAAUAUAUUUAAUAAGCCUCAUUUCAUUAUGGAGUGUUUACUAGUAAUGCUUGUCUCUAAUAGCUGUGCUCCGCUCCCCCUGUUAACCUAAUUUAUCAGAUAAUUUUCGGAUUAUAAUCUUCAGGUAAAAUUGAAAGAUCUCCCUUAUUGUUAUGUGUUUGACAGUCAUGUUAAUAGGUUUGGUAAGCCACAUUCAGUAUGGAGUAUUCUAUGCAAUGAUGUUUGAGGGAGCUUGCCUUCUUGUUAUGUGUCUGACAGUCAUGUCAAUUGCUUUAAUAAUCCUCAUUUAGUAUGGAGUGCCUUGCAUUUUGGUGGUUGAACCUUUUCAAUAUAUUAAGCCAAGUUCUGGGUAGUGUAAAAAGGGCAACAAGCGGAUGCAUCAUUUAAUACUUUUUAGAUAUACGUGGAGUCUUAAUAUGAUAGAAAACCUUCUCAUUCCGAAAUUCUUAUCUUAAUAGAAAAGCAAAAGAGUGGAACUAGGGUAUAGGCUUCAUAUUUCCUUUAGAGGUUUUUCGCAUGCCUGUCUACCCUAUACAUAUGGUUUUGUGUCCAUGAGUGCAGACAUCACUUUAAGCUCUAUAUUCAGCUAAGGAAUGGUGCCAGAAUUAGGGAGAAGUAGGAGGAUUGGAGAGGGUGUUCAUCGUACAAUCCAAAAAUUUUGCUGAUAUCACAUAUCAUCUUUUAAAUGGCCUGCAGCAUAAACAGAACUGCAAGCUUCAAAUUCAGCGGGGAGGUGAAUCUAUGGAUACUCAUUAUUUCAAUCAAGAUUUUCUUCAUUAUCAAAGAUCACCUUUCAAAUGGCUCGCAGCUAUGUGGUUGGGUACUCAAGUUAAACUUAAUAAACAUGCAUGUACCUCCUGGUGUAUAGUAUGCCAUUACAAAUGCAUCUCUGCUUCAUGUACAAGAUAUUGGAUGAUUAUCAUAGUUGGGCAUCCAAAAGGCCCUGUAGUAUGUGGACCUAUCUGUGCUAUCUUAACUUGAAUAUCUUAUAGGUAUAUAUUUAGAACUAAAGAAUUACAAUGUCCUAAAUACAUUGGAAAAAAAUGGUUUGCGCGCUUAGAACCAAAAAUAACUGUUACAAUAUUUUGUUCUGGAUGUCUAUUUUUUUCUUAUUUAAUAAAUGCGAAACCCAUCUGGGUUCCUUAAGCUGUACUUCCAUGCCAUUUAUAAGAUCGAAUUUAAAGAGUUCCUUUUUUUUGUUUUAAAUUAAGAGAGACAGUUUAAUACUAUAAGAUCAUCUAUUGUUGUAUGCUCAUGAUGUUUAAAGGAUUAGCUGCAGCUGUCUCCUAACCUUGAGUUUGCAUAUGAAACAGAGAUUGGACUAGGACUGACAGGGUUUGGUAUAUUGUUUUCAUUUUUGGGAAUCAUUUUCGUCUUUGACAAGGGACUGCUAGCAAUGGGGAAUGUAAGUUUUAUCCUCAUCUAUUUUCAUGCAUUCUAUUUUAUUUUUCUAGUAUUGUUUUCCCUGGGGAAUUGAUACAGUGCAUUCACAACCAUCGGGUAUUUUUUCCGUGGGCUGUAUCAGAUUCUCUUCCUGUCAGGUGUCAUGUUAACCAUUGGACUGAAAUCCACCAUGCAAUUCUUCACCAAGCCGAAAAACUACAAGGNNN